rnacentral:rRNA from 1 species
GACGAACGCUGGCGGCGUGCUUAACACAUGCAAGUCGAACGGAAAGGCCUCUUUCGGGGGGUACUCGAGUGGCGAACGGGUGAGUAACACGUGAGUAACCUGCCCUUGACUUUGGGAUAACUUCAGGAAACUGGGGCUAAUACCGGAUAGGAGCUCCUGCUGCAUGGUGGGGGUUGGAAAGUUUCGGCGGUUGGGGAUGGACUCGCGGCUUAUCAGCUUGUUGGUGGGGUAGUGGCUUACCAAGGCUUUGACGGGUAGCCGGCCUGAGAGGGUGACCGGCCACAUUGGGACUGAGAUACGGCCCAGACUCCUACGGGAGGCAGCAGUGGGGAAUAUUGCACAAUGGGUGGAAGCCUGAUGCAGCAACGCCGUGUGCGGGAUGAUGGCCUUCGGGUUGUAAACCGCUUUCGCUCAUGACGAAGCUUUGUGUGACGGUAGUGGGUAAAGAAGCACCGGCUAACUACGUG